rnacentral:lncRNA from 1 species
UCAGCUUCUUGAGCAGCUGGGAUUACAGGUAGGUGCCACUGGACCAACCUUAGCCACUGCUCUUGACAAAGUUUUCAUCAAUCAUUUCUCUGCCUCUUUAAGCAGCAAUUAACCCAAAUAAUCAGCAUUUUUUCUUCUAGAAAUUUUCCCUUUUUUGACUUCAAAAACAUCACAUUCUCCUAUUUCUCCUCCUACUUUACCAGCUUUUAUACCUCUGCUGGACUGAUUCUACCUCCCUCUUUCUGUAAAUUCCCCUAUUAAGGUCCAUGUCACGUUAAUGUGUAACUCUAGCUUUGUGAGCUCCUACCUCCAACUUGACAUCUCUUGCUUGAGCACAACGGAAUUUGGGGUACCCACCCCAUCAUUUGCUCUUCUACUAUUUCCAUCUCAAUAAACUGCACCACUAUUGCCCAAAUGCACAUUCCUAAGGCUUAGGAAUCAUCCUGACUUCCCUCACUCAACACACCAAUCCUAUCCCAAAUUCAUCAAAGUCUCACUAUCUCUCCAGCUACCUAGUGCGGGCCACAACCACCUCUGAAUCAAUCUAUUUCCACUCUUUAUCAAAGUGACAAUAAAUCAUAUCAAAGCUCUUCCUAUAUCUACUGGCUUCCCAUUGUAUUUAUAGUAAUCUCCAAAUUCUUUACUGAGACUGUGGUCAAGCACAACCGGGCCCACUCUCUGCUUCAGUCAAAAUGCCUCCAAGGACCAGGAACCUUUUCUUUCCCCAGCAUGAAAUGUUCAACGCUGUGUCUGCAGCCUCACCUAAUUCAAGUCCUAUUUCCACUCACCUUCUCAGUGAGCACACCAUCCCAAUCUAGUUGGUAAAUCAUUUUGUUAUUGCUUUUUUGUGCUGGGGAUUGAACCCAGGGCCUCAGCCAUGGGAGUCAAAACUCCACCAGAGUUAUACCCUCAGCCCUACCAUCUUGUUUUGAGCAUAAGAUUUAUCAUUAAAAUUAUCUUGUAAAAAUACUAAUCUCUAUUUUAUGGAAUGAAGUGUUGCUGGAUUCUAGAAAUGAAAAUAAAGCCAAUAUGUCUUUAAA